GCCCCUAUGGCGUAGUGGUAGCGCGUGUCACUUGUAAAACUCUUACAAAGAAAUGACAAGGUCUCUCGUUCGAUCCGGGAUGGGGGCA